ACAAGCAGCGGAGCGUGUGGUUUAAUUCGAUGCUACACGAAGAACCUUACCAGGGUUUGACAUGUAAGUGGUAGUGAUCUGAAAAGUGAACGACCUUCGGGAGCUUACACAGGUGCUGCAUGGCUGUCGCCAGCUCGUGUCGUGAGAUGUUCGGUUAAGUCCGCUAACGAGCGCAACCCUCACUGUGUGUUAUACGUGUCACACGGGACUGCCGGUUUUAAGCCGGAGGAAGGCGAGGAUGACGUCAAGUCAGCAUGGCCUUUAUAUCCUGGGCUACACACACGCUACAAUGGUCUGUACGACAGGUUGCCAAACCGCGAGGUGGAGCCAAUCCCUAAAACAGGCCUCAGUUCAGAUUGCAGGCUGCAACCCGCCUGCAUGAAGCCGGAGUUGCUAGUAACCGCAGGUCAGCUAUACUGCGGUGAGUACGUUCCCGGGUCUU
rnacentral:rRNA from 1 species